rnacentral:lncRNA from 1 species
CCAGAGACCUGCCGCACCACGAGAUCCGAGUCGCCGAAGGGAGAGGAUUCAUCGGAUGGCAAUUUCCUUGCCGAGCCGGAGACCGUGGUCGAGCGCCUCGUACUCGGCCACGUUGUUGGAGGCGGUGAAGUGGAUUUGGAGGGCGUACUUGAGUUGAUCCCCUUUCGGGGAUGACAGGACGAUACCGGCUCCCAAGCUGGUUCGCAUCUUGGAGACGUUGAAAUGCAUGCGCAAGUG